GACGAACGCUGGCGGCAUGCCUAAUACAUGCAAGUCGAGCGAACAGAUGAAGUGCUUGCACUUCUGACGUUAGCGGCGAACGGGUGAGUAACACGUAAGGAAUCUACCUAUAAGCGGGGGAUAACAUUCGGAAACGGGUGCUAAUACCGCAUAAUAUCUUCUUCCGCAUGGAAGAAGAUUGAAAGACGGCUCUGCUGUCACUUAUAGAUGACCUUGCGGUGCAUUAGUUAGUUGGUGGGGUAACGGCCUACCAAGACGAUGAUGCAUAGCCGACCUGAGGGGGUGAUCGGCCACAUUGGGACGGGGCGACGGCCCAAACUCCUGCGGGAGGCAGCAGUAGGGAAUCUUCCGCAAUGAGCGAAGGCCUGACGGAGCAAUGCGGCGUGAGUGAAGAAGGCCUUCGGGUCGUAAAACUCUGUUAUAAGAGAAGAGCAAAUUGUAGAGUAACUGCUACAGUCUUGACGGUAUCUUAUCAGAAAGCCACGGCUAACUACGUGCCAGCCGCCGCCGUAA
rnacentral:rRNA from 1 species